GAUGGUGGUUUUUAAUGUUGUGUCGCUUGAGGGAACAAAGGUCACAGGCAUUCAGUGUUCGUUUUCGGCCAUGCCACUUACAUGUAGUAAGUUCUCCAGAUUCACUUAAUCUUCUGAUUAUAUUAUGGACUGUAGAUGAUGGAAUCCCUAAAUUCCUUGCAAUUGAACAUUGAGAAACACUGUUCUUAAACUGUUGAACUAUACUUUUCAUGCAUUUUCACAAAGUGGUGAUCCUCGCCCUAUCUUUGCUGGUGAACGGCUGAGCCUUUUGGAGAUGCUCCUUUUAUACCCAAUCUUGACACCCACCUGUUUCCAAACAGGUGUUCUUUGAGGAUUCAUCAACUUUACCAGUCUUUUGUUUACCCAUCCCAACUAUUUUGAAAUGUGUUGCAGGCAUCCAUUUCAACAUCAGCAAAUAUUUGCACAAAAACAAUAAAGUUUAUCAGUUUGAACAUUAAACAUCUUACCUUUGUGGUGUAUACAGUA